UUUUUAAAAUUUAAAAAUUUGAAAUUUUAUUUAAUGGAUAGCCCCUUGAGAUGCAACAUCUCAUUUUCAAGGGGGUCCAUAAAAACAAAAAAUUAAACAGAAAAAA